AGAGUUUGAUCCUGGCUCAGGAUGAACGCUGGCGGCGUGCUUAAUACAUGCAAGUCGAACGAAGUUAUUUCGCUGAUGCGAUUCGUCAAAUCUUGAAAUAACUUAGUGGCGGACGGGUGAGUAACGCGUGGGUAACCUGCCUUACACAGGGGGAUAACAGUUAGAAAUGACUGCUAAUACCGCAUAAGCGCACGGUAUCGCAUGAUACAGUGUGAAAAGAUUUAUCGGUGUAAGAUGGACCCGCGUCUGAUUAGCUAGUUGGUGAGGUAACGGCCCACCAAGGCGACGAUCAGUAGCCGGCCUGAGAGGGUGAACGGCCACAUUGGGACUGAGACACGGUCCAAACUCCUACGGGAGGCAGCAGUGAGGAAUAUUGGUCAAUGGGCGCGAGCCUGAACCAGCCAAGUAGCGUGCAGGAUGACGGCCCUAUGGGUUGUAAACUGCUUUUAUGCGGGGAUAAAGUCACCCACGUGUGGGUGUUUGUAGGUACCGCAUGAAUAAGGACCGGCUAAUUCCGUGCCAGCAGCCGCGGUAAUACGGAAGGUCCGGGCGUUAUCCGGAUUUAUUGGGUUUAAAGGGAGCGCAGGCUGAAGGAUAAGCGUGACGUGAAAUGUAGCCGCUCAACGGCUGAACUGCGUCGCGAACUGUUUUUCUUGAGUGAGUACGACGUCAGCGGAAUUCGUGGUGUAGCGGUGAAAUGCUUAGAUAUCACGAAGAACCCCGAUUGCGAAGGCAGCUGACGAGUCCUUUACUGACGCUAAAGCUCGAAGGUGCGGGUAUCGAACAGGAUUAGAUACCCUGGUAGUCCGCACGGUAAACGAUGGAUGCCCGCUGUUGGCGAUACAAUGUCAGCGGCCAAGCGAAAGCGUUAAGCAUCCCACCUGGGGAGUACGCCGGCAACGGUGAAACUCAAAGGAAUUGACGGGGGCCCGCACAAGCGGAGGAACAUGUGGUUUAAUUCGAUGAUACGCGAGGAACCUUACCCGGGCUUGAACUGCAGCAGAACGACAGAGAGAUCUUGAGGCCCUUCGGGGCUGCUGUGGAGGUGCUGCAUGGUUGUCGUCAGCUCGUGCCGUGAGGUGUCGGCUUAAGUGCCAUAACGAGCGCAACCCCUUCCGUCAGUUGCCAUCACUUUGGGUGGGCACUCUGGCGGUACUGCCACCGUAAGGUGUGAGGAAGGUGGGGAUGACGUCAAAUCAGCACGGCCCUUACGUCCGGGGCUACACACGUGUUACAAUGGGUGGUACAGAGAGUCAACCGCCGGCAACGUCGGUUUAAUCCUUAAAGCCAUCCUCAGUUCGGAUUGGGGUCUGCAACCCGACCCCAUGAAGCUGGAUUCGCUAGUAAUCGCGCAUCAGCCAUGGCGCGGUGAAUACGUUCCCGGGCCUUGUACACACCGCCCGUCAAGCCAUGAAAGCCGGGGGCGCCUGAAGUCCGUGACCGCGAGGGUCGGCCUAGGGUGAAACCGGUGAUUGGGGCUAAGUCGUAACAAGGUA
rnacentral:rRNA from 1 species